AUUGAACGCUGGCGGCAUGCCUAACACAUGCAAGUCGAGCGAGCGGCGGACGGGUGAGUAGUGUAUGAGGAUGUGCCCGAUAGAGGGGUAUAACUACUGGAACCGGUGGCUAAUGCCGCAUACUAUCGUAUGGACCCAUAUGGGAUUAGCUAGUAGGUGGGGUAAAGGCUCACCGAGGCGACGAUCCCUAGCCGGCCUUAGAGGAUGAUCAGCCACACUGGGACUGAGACACGGCCCAGACUCCUACGGGAGGCAGCAGUGGGGAAUAUUGCACAAUGGGCGCAAGCCUGAGGCAGCCAUGCCGCGUGUAUGAAGAAGGCCUUAGGGUUGUAAAGUACUUUCAGCGGGGAGGCGUUACCCGCAGAAGAAGCACCGGCUAACUCCGUGCCAGCAGCCGCGGUAAUUC
rnacentral:rRNA from 1 species